UACGUGGGGUGCAAACGUUGCUCGGAAUCAUUGGGCGUAAAGCGCACGUAGGCGGCGUUCUAAGUCGGAUGUGAAAGCCCUGGGCUUAACCCAGGAAGUGCAUCCGAAACUGGAUCGCUUGAGUCUCAUAGAGGGUUGCGGAAUUCCCGGUGUAGAGGUGAAAUUCGUAGAUAUCGGGAGGAACACCAGUGGCGAAGGCGGCAACCUGGCUGAUGACUGACGCUGAGGUGCGAAAGCGUGGGGAGCAAACAGG
rnacentral:rRNA from 2 species